UGUGUCUGCUCAGGGUGUUGCUGUCUGCUGUACAAGAUUGCCAGGACAGAGAGAAAACUCCUGUGGUUACGUCUUCAGGUCCCUUCUGUUUCCAGAUGAAGUGGUGUUAAGAUGUUACCCUGGUUUUGUUUUUAAUUAACCCAUCACAAAACUCCUGAUUCAACAUCAGAGCUGCUGGGUUGGACAGCACAGAGGGAACAUGCAGGUAGAGCCCGGAGUCCACCCCACGGAUGCUUACCAGCCCCACUGCCAGACUGAUAAACUCCAAAAUCCCUACAACAGAAGAAAAAUCCAGAUUAUACAGAGGCUCCAGGGACAAAAGCCUUUCCCAAGCUUUGCAGAGCUUCCUACAGAUCCCAUUUUCCUUAUUUAAUAACAGUAUUGUUCUUAACUCUACAGUGUCAUACACCUGCAGUCUUCUGAUUGCCACUCCAGGCUUCACCACAAAUUGGACUGAGUGGCACAAGAGGGAUUAUCUUUGCUAGUGAGAAAAGAUUUGCUAAGUUCUGUUGUUUUGGCUUGGAGGUUUUGCUUGUUUGCUUUGUUUUUUCAUAAUUUUCACGAAGAGGAAAGAUGGAGAUACCUGUGCCUGGCACACCAGAAAUUUCAGAAGGCUGUUGUUGUCCUGCUGGGUUUUAUUCUUCACCAAAAGGAGAGUGAUUUUUGCCACCACUGGGGCUUCUGGUUUGAGAUGAUAGUCCCAGAUGUUUUAAAGUGAUGAGUUCAAUAAAAAUUUGUUUGAAGCACCA